GCCGUUGCUCUCAUGGCGG
rnacentral:snRNA from 1 species